GCCGCUAUAGCUCAGUGGUAGAGCAUCACACUUGUAAUGUGGAGGUCUUGGGUUCAAUCCCCAGUGGCGGCU
rnacentral:tRNA from 1 species